AGAGUUUGAUCAUGGCUCAGGAUGAACGCUAGCUACAGGCUUAACACAUGCAAGUCGAGGGGCAGCAUGUUGGUUGCUUGCAACCAACGAUGGCGACCGGCGCACGGGUGAGUAACGCGUAUCCAACCUACCCUUGUCCAUCGGAUAACCCGUCGAAAGGCGGCCUAACACGAUAUGCGGUUCACGGCAGGCAUCUAAGGUGAACGAAAUGUGAAGGAGAAGGAUGGGGAUGCGUCUGAUUAGCUUGUUGGCGGGGUAACGCCACAAGGCUACGAUCAGUAGGGGUUCUGGAGAGGAAGGUCCCCCANAUUGGAACUGAGACACGGUCCAAACUCCUACGGGAGGCA
rnacentral:rRNA from 1 species